CAAUGUCUUACUCUUUCUCGCACAGCAUCCCUUGCUAGCAAAUAUUGACAGACUUCUUUUAUCUACUUCUCACAAGCCUGUGUUGGAGCAUUAUCUUGUCUGAUAGAUGGCAGUGUAUCAUGGCUGAGAUAUGACACCUUUUGAGUGUUUCUGUCUCCAUUACACAAGGGCUGUUUUUAUCUAGGAAGACCUUGUGAAUCAACAUUUGGACCAAUGGUGGAUACUAAAACUCUACAUGACAGGCAUUAUAGGCAUUCACAUGAGACAGCUAUAAUGUUAGUGAUUAACGCCAUAAAAGAUAUGUGUCGAUCACACUGUAUCAUAUCAACAUAACUAACAGUACAUUGUCCUUUCUCUGGCUUUCUCCAGUUGUUGUUUGCUCUUUUGUGAAAAUGCUUCACCACAAUGGUGUUGCAUUCCACAGCGACACCCGAUGAUUUCUCUAAAUGUAGACAUAUUAUUUAGGGUUUUAUAUGCCGGGGCCCUGGCUAUAGUUAGUGGGUGUGCACAC